GGCUCAGGACGAACGCUGGCGGCGUGCCUAAUACAUGCAAGUCGAGCGGACAGAAGGGAGCUUGCUCCCGGAUGUUAGCGGCGGACGGGUGAGUAACACGUGGGUAACCUGCCUGUAAGACUGGGAUAACUCCGGGAAACCGGAGCUAAUACCGGAUAGUUCCUUGAACCGCAUGGUUCAAGGAUGAAAGACGGUUUCGGCUGUCACUUACAGAUGGACCCGCGGCGCAUUAGCUAGUUGGUGAGGUAACGGCUCACCAAGGCGACGAUGCGUAGCCGACCUGAGAGGGUGAUCGGCCACACUGGGACUGAGACACGGCCCAGACUCCUACGGGAGGCAGCAGUAGGGAAUCUUCCGCAAUGGACGAAAGUCUGACGGAGCAACGCCGCGUGAGUGAUGAAGGUUUUCGGAUCGUAAAGCUCUGUUGUUAGGGAAGAACAAGUGCAAGAGUAACUGCUUGCACCUUGACGGUACCUAACCAGAAAGCCACGGCUAACUACGUGCCAGCAGCCGCGGUAAUACGUAGGUGGCAAGCGUUGUCCGGAAUUAUUGGGCGUAAAGGGCUCGCAGGCGGUUUCUUAAGUCUGAUGUGAAAGCCCCCGGCUCAACCGGGGAGGGUCAUUGGAAACUGGGAAACUUGAGUGCAGAAGAGGAGAGUGGAAUUCCACGUGUAGCGGUGAAAUGCGUAGAGAUGUGGAGGAACACCAGUGGGCGAAGGCGACUCUCUGGGUCUGUAACUGACGCUGAGGAGCGAAAGCGUGGGGAGCGAACAGGAUUAGAUACCCUGGUAGUCCACGCCGUAAACGAUGAGUGCUAAGUGUUAAGGGGGUUUCCGCCCCUUAGUGCUGCAGCUAACGCAUUAAGCACUCCGCCUGGGGAGUACGGUCGCAAGACUGAAACUCAAAGGAAUUGACGGGGGCCCGCACAAGCGGUGGAGCAUGUGGUUUAAUUCGAAGCAACGCGAAGAACCUUACCAGGUCUUGACAUCCUCUGACAACCCUAGAGAUAGGGCUUUCCCUUCGGGGACAGAGUGACAGGUGGUGCAUGGUUUGUCGUCAGCUCGUGUCGUGAGAUGUUGGGGUUAAGUACCGCAACGAGCGCAACCCUUGAUCUUAGUUGCCAGCAUUCAGUUGGGCACUCUAAGGUGACUGCCGGUGACAAACCGGAGGAAGGGGUGGGGAUGACGUCAAAUCAUCAUGCCCCUUAUGACCUGGGCUACACACGUGCUACAAUGGACAGAACAAAGGGCUGCGAGACCGCAAGGUUUAGCCAAUCCCACAAAUCUGUUCUCAGUUCGGAUCGCAGUCUGCAACUCGACUGCGUGAAGCUGGAAUCGCUAGUAAUCGCGGAUCAGCAUGCCCGCGGUGAAUACGUUCCCGGGCCUUGUACACACCGCCCGUCACACCACGAGAGUUUGCAACACCCGAAGUC
rnacentral:rRNA from 1 species